GACGAACGCUGGCGGCGUGCCUAAUACAUGCAAGUCGAACGAGCGGCGGACGGGUGAGUAAUGUCUGGGAAACUGCCUGAUGGAGGGGGAUAACUACUGGAAACGGUAGCUAAUACCGCAUACCAUCAGAUGUGCCCAGAUGGGUUUGGCUGGUAGGUGGGGUGACGGCUCACCUGGGCGACGAUCCCUAGCUGGUCUGAGAGGAUGACCAGCCACACUGGAACUGAGACAGGGUCCAGACUCCUACGGGAGGCAGGAGUGGGGAAUAUUGCACAAUGGGCGCAAGCCUGAUGCAGCCAUGCCGCGUGGGUGAAGAAGGCCUUCGGGUUGUAAAGCACUUUCAGCGGGGAGGCGUUACCCGAAGAAGAAGCACCGGCUAACUCCGUGCCAGCCGCCGCGGUAAUAC
rnacentral:rRNA from 1 species